UUAAAACGAGUAGAAGUUUGAACCCAUAAGCUUGAAAUUUUAGCUCCGCCCCUACCGCUCUGGCUUGGCCCCGAAUAUAAUCGACUCUAUGAAUCUUCAAGCACAUGAAUACCCUCUCGGCGAAGCACCCGGCAAAAUCACUUCCUUUGAACCCUGUAUCUAUACAAGGCAUAAAUACUGAAACUUUCCAUAAGUCUGAACAUGAGCUGAUAAGGCCAACCAUAGCACACCUUUAACAAUUCCUUUUCUCAAAUUACCACUUAUGUUCUUUUCCCGUAGCUGAAAUGACCCAUCAAAAACCAGAAACCUUGCAAGAAGUUAACCAUGCAACCCCAUUACAUCUUCCAACGCUGCUUCACAGGGUACAAUCUGUUGGAAAUCAUGUAUACCUUUGAUAUGUGCGCUUUGGUUGUAUGAGCAAGAUUUUCAGGUAUAGGUUUUGAUGAAUGACAAACAAUGAAGUCAAGUGUCAAACAGCGAUAUAAUCAAAUGGGGAGAAGCAUACUGAUGACGGAAUUGCAUCAACGAGCCAAAGAAGUUCAAGACCGAAGACCCAAGACGUAGGUUGUUUGGUAGAACCAAUUUUUUGAUGAAUGACAAAC
rnacentral:lncRNA from 1 species